CCAAUAGCGUAUAUUAAAGUUGUUGCAGUUAAAAAGCUCGUAGUUGAAUUUCGGGAUCAAUAUAUCGGUCGUGCCAUCGGUACGUACUGGUAUCAUUGGUUUCUCCUUUCUGACGAACCAUGAUGUCAUUAAUUUGGUGUUAUGGGAAGUUAGGACUGUUACUUUGAAAAAAUUAGAGUGUUUAAAGCAGGCUUUAGCUUGAAUACAUUAGCAUGGAAUA
rnacentral:rRNA from 1 species